UACGGGGGGGCAAGCGUUGGUUCGGAAUUACUGGGCGUAAAGGGCUCGUAGGCGGCCUUCUAAGUCAGACGUGAAAUCCCAGGCUUAACCUGGGAACUGCGUCGGAUACUGGAUGGCUUGAAUCCGGGAGAGGAUGCGGAAUUCCAGGUGUAGCGGUGAAAUGCGUAGAUAUCUGGAGGAACACCGGUGGCGAAAGGCGGCAUCCUGGACCGGCAUUGACGCUGAGGAGCGAAAGCCAGGGGGAG
rnacentral:rRNA from 1 species